rnacentral:lncRNA from 1 species
UGGGAGAGGAUCUCUAUCCCACAGUGAAGAAGGCGUGCGACCAAACCACCAGCAUCGAUUAAUCCUAAUUUUGAAAACAACAAACCAUUAAAUUAGAAAAUUCCAACCCUAAUACCCCCUAAAAUUGAUUUCUUAGAUAGAACCUGCAAUUAUUUAUAGUGAGAAGGAGAUGAAAAGCAAGAACGAUAGGAUAGAAUACGACGUGAGGAAGAAGAGGGUCAUAGGGUCGUAAGAGUCAAGAAUCAUUGCCAAUCGAACGAUCGGUGGAGUAAAAGGGGAUGAAAGACUGGAAAUUAGGUUUGGGGGAAACGCCAGAGGAAAACCUACCGUGAAGUCUUCUACCUCAGCGUAAGGUCACAGCUUGGCAGCCAAGCUUCACCACGAUAUCAUUGGUCGAUUUGUCACGAGGAAGGCCUGAUGUCGCCGGAGGAGAAGUGACCAGAGGCGAAGCAAGGUGAAUCGUCCAAUGUUUCAGAGCUAAGAGAGAUGCGAGAGUGUUUUCGUUCUUGAAAAAAGCCCUAGCUAAAAUGGUCACAACGAUUUUGUGGAAUUUAGUAUUUGGUGAUGUUUUAGGAUUUUGUUGUGCAAUAAAAUAGGAGUGGUUAUGAUAUUAGGGUUUUUUGGGUACUGAUCAGUGAGGAGAGGGAAGAACGAUGGAAAUAAUGCAGAGGAUUAACGAGAUGUUUGAUGAUACUAAAGAUGAAGAUAAGGGACCUGGGGCUUUUUCUUGCUAAGUAUAAGAGGCGGGGGGAUUAAUUUUUGGGAUUCAAUAGGCGGGGGUAAUUUUCGUCGAUUUCAUUUCCCGCCUAAAACGCGUGUUUCACUUAAAAAUUAUAAAGCGACACAUUUACACGACACACAUUUAUNUUUAUGAAAGGCGCCCUCCGCAUUUCUUCUUUUUUUUCUUUUCUGACACUAAUUUUAGGGCGCGCACAAAUGCGUGCCCUCUAUCCUUCAAAUUUUGCAAAAUUGACAUUAUCUUUUAGGGCCCUUACAAAUGCGCGUCGUCUAUCAGCGAGUGUCAUUGUUUGCGCGUCAUUAAAGGCCAAUUUUCUUGUAGUGCAUGUAGUUCUUGAAGAUCCCAAGGAUAUCACUAGCAUGUGGUUCUAUCAUAAUCAUCAUAAACAAAUAACAAUGUGGGUAACUUGGGGUAUACUUUCUUGCUCCGGAUGAUCGUACACAUCUCCUCCUUCCUUGGUUACUUGUGAAAACAAUUUCGAAAACCAUUUUGAAAACAAUUUUGGAAACUUUAACAGAUCCUUAGUUUGAGUCUGGAUUCACACGAAUGCUCAUUUAAUUCUCUCAAACGAAGGCUAUGAUACCAACUUGUAACAUCCCAAAAAUCAAGGGAAAAUUUUCAUUUUUAAAACCCAACCAAAACCAUAAUUAUUUACAAAACAUUGUUCUCAAAAGCAAUAAUCACAAAUUAGAGUGUCUCCAUAAUCUAAUAACAUAAAACCAGAAGAAUGUGCACGAUCACGCCUUUGCUUUCCCACGAUCAUCCGAAGUACCUGAAACAUGAAACUUAAAUUGUAAUCCAACGCUUAGUGAGUCUCCCCCAAAGUACCAAACACAAACAAAACAGAUAACAACAUGCAUAAAUGGGCCUUCAGCCUGACUGGACCGUCAUGCAGGGCCUACAACCUAUCUGGACCGCUCUCCAGGCCUUUGUCCUGACUAGACCGCCUCGUAGGCCUUUAUUCUAUUCGGACUACCCCGGGUAUCUUGGCCUUCAGCACAAAGCAGUACUGCCUCAACCCAACAAACCAUAACAUGUCGACAUAUAUAAUAACAACCAAUAACCAGCAACCCAUGUAAUCAUACAUAUCUACCAAUCUAACACAUACUCAAUAAACACAGGUAAUCAUACAUAUCUACCAGUCUAACACAUACUCAACAUAACAUCAAUUCGAUAUAUCAGGAUACAAAAUCCACUUGGCUGACCUUGGUGCCUUCGAACCACAAGUACAGUGAGGAAAACUCUCUACAUAAUCUAAAAAGAUAGUUGAAUAGAUCACAACUCCGACUGCUGACUCUACAGGUCACCUAUACAGCAAUCAGUGACCAAAUCUCAGUCUACAACUCGAAAUACCCAAAAUACCCCUAUAUCAAACUUGGUCAAAGUCUUGGUCAAGGUUAAAGGUCAAAAGUGAACUAAGUCAACUCCGGCUGAGUACACCCAAAAUACUCAACAUGUAUGCUUGGCGUGCACACGAUCCAGAUAAGGGGGAUUAAGGGAGUACGUAGAAUGUACUUAGAAGUACGCCCAACGUAAUCCGCUGCCAGCCUUUCCUUCUAAUAAGAGCUUAAUCCAAUAACUCAUUUUUCCCAAAAUAUAGAUCUAGUCCCAAAUAGUGUUCUAAACCAUAAAGUUUCCAACUUUAUGAUCUUGCCUGGCUAAUAAAUGCCUGCACCUUAAAACCCUAACUUCUUAACCAAAUAAGACAUCAUAACCUUUGCAUGGAAGGACUUGAAGGGCCACAGUCACAUUUUUAUCACUCUAGACACUCUAAAAUGUCCAAAAGGACAAAUCAUUUGGUCUAGAGUAUCUCAUACUCAAAUGGACCUAGAUUAUGGGGCUAAAAAGCAUAUAACUCCACAACUAGCAAGAUCUCAUGAAAUAACCAACAAGUUCAUAGCUUUAUACCUCUAAAUGAAUUUGAGGGCAAGAUGCCUCUGGAUCCAAAGAGGUCUUGAGAUUCUAAGGUGAAUCCAUUUCCUUCUUCCUCCUUCAAGAACACCAACAACAUACUCUAAGGCUCAAAACGCUCACAAAUGUGAAUUAGGGUUUGCAAGAUACGAAAUGGGGCUAGUGGCUAAUGAGGGAAGGAGUCGUGGGGAGUUAAUGAUGCUUAAAUAGGGCUCAAACCCUAAAAAUUAGUGUUUAACCACUAACCACGUACACUCAACGUAUGCAUCAAAGGUGUGUUUUUCACUUAAGGCUCAUUGGGACCAAUUUUUCAAACAGUUCCAUAUUAAAGGUCAAAAUUAUAAAUUACCUAAAUCGAGAUGUUACACUACAUUACCCUACAAAAGCAACACAUCUUCAUCCUGAUAAAAAAAUUCAACUACCUUGCUCUCCAAUAUCGAUUUCUCUUCCUCUUAACAACCUUAUUUCACCUUUCAAAGCCUCCAAAUCCGACCCAGGAACCAUAGGAACGCUCGAGCUUGUUCCCUCCAGCUCCACAACUCUUUUAAACAUAUCCACAAACUUAUCCUAAAAUAACUUAUCAUUUAGAGAUAAACAUAUGGAGGGAAUGAUAAAUGGCUUCGCAAUAUCAGCCACCACUUUAAACUUAUCUCAUAAAUCAAUAUUUUCUUGAUGCAACUUUACAUUCUUAUCAUACCAAUUCAUAAUUUCACUCUCCAAGGCUUGGUUUUCGACAAGCUUAAUUUUAAACAUGUCUUGGACAUGUUCUCAACGUCUACUCCUAAGACUAAUCCAAGUAUCGGGCAAGGCAAAAUUCUCAAAAAAAACAACAUCACGACUUUUGGAUCUUAAAAUCUUUGAUCCUGACGAUACUCCCAGUCGGGAGCAUAGAUGGGUCUAUUAGGAUAAGGAACAUCUGCAUCUUGGGGGGGGGGGAGGGAGGCUAAUAGUGUUUAAACAAUCAAGGUAAGUGGAAGUCAUGUUUAAAUCAAUGCUACUUAUGAACAUGUGAAAAGCGGUAUGAUCCAAAGAACGAGAUCGGUUUUUAAUGUGAUCAAAACUACCAUUCUCCCCACCAGACACAGCGGCAACAAAAGCAGUUGAGGCAGCUACCCCUCCCUCUUUUUCGAGCAACCAAAAGGGUAUCAUUAGCUUCAUCAUCAGCAUCUUCAUAAACUAUCCUAAAAGUAGCACCAUUUUGGGGUUCACUAUUACCACCCACAUCAGAGUCAUAUGAUCACAAAUGUGAGAAGAAGAUUGUGAUCCUUGACCAUCCUCAUCAUCAUUAUCCCCAUUACUACCUUCUUCCCCAUAACCACUCAUGUUUUCAUCUAGGACAGAAAACUCAAAAUCAAGAACCUAUAUCUUUAGCAGAAAUCGCGCCCUUAACAAAGUCACUCAAAAGAAAUGGGGAUCGACCAGCAUCUACACAAGAAUUGAAGAAUGAAACAUUCAAGCGGUGACCAACAACGCAACCACAAGCACAUAUAAUCAAGAAAAAUAAAAACAAGUAAAAUAAAAACUUAGUCCUCGAACAUAAAAAGCACGAAUAAUCCCAUAAGAAUCCAAUAUGGACUCAUUCCUAUGUGCCCUAAAACCGCUUUAGGAAUUUUUUUCAUCGACACACAUAAUAAAGAAAUUCUAGAUGUCUUGGCAAAGAUAGGUUUUCCUAUCUAGUUUUUGGUCCUCAAUAGUACCAAGGGAAUGAAAAAUGUUAGGUAAUCGAACCAUGAAGCAUCAAGCCUAAUAAAAUCAUUCUUCAAUCUUUUGAUGGAUUAUGGAAGACCCUCUAUAAAGCUUCUCCCCUUGAGCGAAAAUAGAACCAAGAAUAAUUACUAAAUAUGAAAAAGAAGUAUUGAAACAAAUAUAUUGUUGGCAUGACGAGAAAGGCAUGACACGGUAACUCGAAAUAGAUUGUCUUGGAAAUCAAAUUCGACUUCAGUUGGCAUGUAUGAAUCUUUUAAUCCCUGACAACUUGCAACACCGUCUUCCUCAAUAAGGUGAUACUUUUGAGAAACCUGAACCGACCCAUCACGAGAAACUAUGGAAUGCAAAAAAAAAAAGCGUUGCGAAUCGAGACAUUUUUCAGAAAAAAACAGAGUAACAAUGGUGGAAUGAAGCAACUAUGAGAAGAUAGAAAGAAAAUAAAUGAUGGGACAUGCCUUAAUAAGGGAAAAAGGCAGGAGUGCAUAUUCCUGCCACCUCAACUAUCACGACAGUUACGUGAGUGCAAGGGCGUGUAUAACCUACGAAAAAACGAUUCGUUUCCCGGUUAACUGAAUGCCCUUUGAGGCCAAUUAUAAAAACCCGUUGAGUACCAGCCUUUAACAAUUGGGCUAGGGGGCUUAAUGAUGUAUGGGGUUAGCCUAUACAUAAUGGUUAUAUGGAAACAUUAAGGAAUGCUUAACCAACGCGGUAAGCCCAUGAUUAACCAAGUCGACUUUCUUUAGUAGCCAAGAGUAACUACACAAUCAAAAAGGCAAUAUUUUAUAUCAAUAAAUUAUUCGUGCAAGUACCGUAACGUCCCAAAAUUCAUACCAAAAAUUUUCUUUAAAUCAUUACCAAAACCAAGUUCAUAAAAAUAUAUCAUAAGUCAUAACAUGAAUUCAGAGUAUCAUUUCCAAAACAUAUUUUCAUUAUCAGAGUAAAACAUCCCAGGUUGUCUAAACUAUGGAGUGUGUCAUGCAAUCACCCCGAGCUCUUCCCUCCGCCACCAGAAGUACCUGAAACCAAAAAUGAAAACCGUAAGCACGAAGCUUAGUGAGUUCCCCAACCUACCACAUACCCUGCAUAAACACAUACAACAUAUACUGGGCCACGCCCGCUACUUCGGGCCUCACCCGCUACAACGGCCCCUCUGCUCCAGGCCCUGCCUGGAUUCGAGCCCCGCUUGGAUACAGAUCUGUUUCACUUAGGCCUCGACUGUCACUAGGCCUCGCCCGCUAACAUAUAGUAACACAUAGGCAUAUCACAACACAUAAGCUAACAUAUACUAAUAAAUCAUGUCCUGAGGCCUCGCCUAUCUUGGGCCUUGCCCUUGUCCUGCUACUGAUGAGUCAUGGAACCCCAUCCAUGCUCCUACUGAUAAUGGGNNNNNNNNNNNNNNNNNNNNNNNNNNNNNNNNNNNNNNNNNNNNNNNNNNNNNNNNNNNNNNNNNNNNNNNNNNNNNNNNNNNNNNNNNNNNNNNNNNNNNNNNNNNNNNNNNNNNNNNNNNNNNNNNNNNNNNNNNNNNNNNNNNNNNNNNNNNNNNNNNNNNNNNNNNNNNNNNNNNNNNNNNNNNNNNNNNNNNNNNNNNNNNNAGGGCUAACCCCCGAGUCUUCCUACUCAUAACUACAUGGGUCGGCAUUGUGGCCGUAGACCCAUUCACACAAAGGGAAACUCACCUCGUACUGUUGAAGUUGCUGGUAACCCCUCUGGAUGCUGACCGACAAUUCCCUGAACCACUGCUCCACUAGCUCCUCGAGCUACCAAUAUCAAAACAUAUAUCACUUAGCUUAACUAUUCUCCAAAAGUCAACUAAGUCAACUCUGGUCAAAGUCAACCUUCCAGGUCAACCCUACUCGCCGAGUCUACCUACUGACUCGCCGAGUUCAUUAGCUCAGAAUCCUUUCAUUCGCGACUCGACUCGCCGAGUCAGCCCCUGACUCGCCGAAUCUACCGAUUUUCGAGUCCUGACCUAUCCAACUCACUGAGUCCCCACUCAAGUCACUGAUCCGAGUCCUAACUUGAAGGGUUUGGGGUUUUGCGACUUGACUCGCCGAGUCCAAGAACAGACUCGCCGAGUGCCAGGCAAUCUUCAACAGACUUGCCGAGUUGUUCUUCCAACUCGUCGAGUUCCUGCCCAACUUCAUCCAACUCGCCGAGUCCACCCAUGUGACUCGCCGAGUCUCUCCAGUUCUUAAUCCAUUCAGUGGUUUUUCAAGCCAUGCAGGGGCUCCAAAUCAUAGAUUCAUACUUCCAAAGUCUAUCCCUCACAUAAAGAUGCAAACUUUACGUGUAGCUAAGGAGAUCUAGGCCCAAAACACUCCAAACUCGGGUUUAGGACAACCAUGCUUCACCUACACCCCCAAGACUGAUACUUUAUGACUCUUUAGGCCAGAAUACACUUAGAUCUGAAGUAGCAACUUCAGAUUUGGGCUCUAACUCGAAAUGGUUCAAGGACAUGGCAUAAAAGCCCCAAAUCUCAUAACAAAGGGAAAACUAGAUGAAGAAGGGUGAAAAUAACGACUUAAUACCUUCAAUAACUCUGAAAGGUGACCCAAACUCUGGAUCUAAAUCCAAUCCUUGAAGCCCCAAAGAUUCCUUCCUUCCUUCUUCCUUCAAAUCACCCCAAAAUGGCAAGGGACUUGAAUAUGCAACAAUGGAGGCUGAGGGUUUUAGUUUCUAGAUGAGAGAGGCUCCAAGGAACCCUAAUGGAGAGAAUAAGAUGCUUAAAUAGUGCCCAAAGUCCUGGAUUUAGGGUUUCCCUCUUCAGACCGGACUUGCCGAGUCCGCUACUUAAUCGAUCCCCCGGAUCCCGCUCCGACUCGCCGAGUUCCUCCCUGGACUCGACGAGUUGACCCUUUGACUUAGGGUUUUUCCUUUCCUUUCUUGGUCUUUCUGAUUAUGGGCGUUACAACUCUCCCCCACUUAAACUAAACUUCGUGCUCGAAGUUUCUCUACGGCCAAUCGCCCUGCAAUCAGCUUUCAACACUCUGCUUGGUAGACCUAACAUGCGCUAACUACCUUCGUUGGCCUUCCACCCGGUCAUUCUGACUAACAUUAAUCCUUGCGGAUAAUAAUCUCGGGUCAACCCUGACCCUGAACAUUCUGGAAACACAACCUACUCAACUGACAAUCCUUCUGGUACUCCCCGAGUACUGAAACUGAACCCAUAGGGGUUCACCCCCUCUUUCCUUGUGCGUUUUCUGGCCUUCCUAAGGCAACGUUCCGACUACCUCCCUCUGCCAAUGUGAAGGUCCUAACCUUCACCGAAUCCAUUACUCUCGCUAUAUUCAGUGCGGGUCAUACUGCCAGUACCCAUAGGAUACUUCCUACUACUAUAACUUAGUGUUGAAUAUCCAUCGCAACGAAUGGUUCAGAUAAUCCUUCGAGUAAAGGAUUCAUCCCUGCCACGGUUAGACUCAAACGAGAGUUGCACAACAGGUUCAAACCCUUCCCUCUGAGAUUAUCCAACCCUGCUGUGAGAUGCAUAGCACCCCCGAUCAACUAGCUACCUUAUACCAUAGUCUACUUACCAACACUGCCACUGACUAAAAUCCUGCUGACCCUUAUCCACCUUCCGGAUGUACCGAGACCACCCUGGUCCCUACUGAUCUAUCAAUAUAUGGAUUAUCGGCUCCCACCGGUUGCUAGCCCCAAUACAAACUUCUUGUCGCUCCCAGCGACUUCAGAGGAAACUUAGGCUACCUAAUACCGCCCCCUCUACUCUGUAAUUCUGGCGCUACAAGUCCUGGGAUCCUCGAUCCCCUAACUUGACCCUAAGGUCCUUACCAGGUCCCACCUAUGUUACUAAAACUCACGGGCCUCGCCCACGGGUCUCACCCGAUGAUACUACUGAGCAACCCUGCUCUCAGGUCUCACCUAUACUGCUACUCUCAUACGGGCCUCGCCCACGGGUCUCACCCAACUACAUCCUGGAGCGGCCUCUCCCAAGGUCUCACCUCUCUAGGGCUAUGUAGGCAGCUCCAUACUAUUCUCAUCCACUACCCAUUCCUGAUCCCUAUCUGGUCACUAGGAGAUAAGGGCCUCGCCUCAACUCCGCUAACGAAGCUACUAGGGAACGAUACGACUUACCCGUAGUCUUACAUCACUUCCACCACUAACUGCUAGUAAAUGCUACGGCUGCCCCGUAGUCUUACAACACUUCCACCACUGACUGCUAAUGAAUGCUACGGAUGCCCCGUAGUCUUACAACACUUCCGCCACUGACUGCUAAUACGAAAGCAUCCCAUGCUAUCAGUUCUCAAGAUCCUCAUUCCGAUUCACUCGAGUCCUACAGGCGAUCCUCCAACCUGAAUUCCCAACCAUAUACCAACCAUCUUGAUUACAUGAUCUAACUGUUGGGAAGUUUCUCAAACUCCCAACCCUUAACUCAUCAACCCAUUCAUCGUUGUGCUACUUCCUUUCCUUCUCAUAGGUCGUGUACUCAUCCUGGAUCUGCACGCUCUUACCAUUGUACACUCGAAGGGUUCUCCCCCACUUUGAUCCUGAUUAUACCUCACUGCUCAAUGCUUGAGAAGAAUUCCCAAUCUUCUUUGCUAUCCCGAAAUCGAUUUGCUGACAACCCAAGCUUGCCAUAGCUAGGUAUCUAACCAAUUCGUUACCCGAUAACACCUUCCUGAAUCUAGCGGGACACUAUUGAGUCCCACACAAGCAUGUUAUAGCUACUGCAUUCUAGGUGACUCACUCCAAUAAGGCACAACCCCUAACUACCAUUAUACUAACCCAGGCAUGCAGAUGGCAUAUAACUAAAUCACAAGCAAGCCACACAAUUCUAAAAUACUUAUAUCCAUAACGAAGCUGAACCAUAACAAUGUAAUCAUGAACAGAGAUAGCAGAAAACGGAAGACACAUACCUGCAACGUCCAGAGCUGCUCGUGUCUCCAUGGUAGUCAUCUGAAAAGUCCUGCCUCCUACCGCAGGUGCCUCUGCUCGGCCCUGACGGUCGUCUGUGAUCCUCAAAGUUGCAGGGGCAGGUGCUAUCACCCAUCCUGCCGUAAACAAACUGGGGCACUGGGCCUUCUUGUGGCCCCGCUAACUGCAGUGGAAACAUAUCAAGUCUGAUCCCUAUGUGGUGGUAGCGGUACAAUCCCUGCUAAGAUGACCAGUCCGGCCGCACUUGAAGCAGCCCGAAUCUCCACCACUACCACUCCUGCAUGCACCCUCGUGCGUCCUGCCGCACCUCCCGCAUUGGCCGCGGCUCUGGUAAUCCCUCGAUAUCGAAUCCGACCCCUUGGGCCUUUUUCCCGAACCCGUGACUUCCUGAACCUCAUCCGGCUUCCUCUUCUGAAUCUGAUCCAAAUCAAUCUCCCUCUCUCUAGCUCGUGUGAUCAUAUCCUUCAACGUUUUGCAGCUGGACCUGCUCACAAACUGCCUGAUGUCAUCCAUCAACAUCUCGUGUAUCGGGCCUUCUUCAUCUCCUCGUCUGCGACAUACUGCAGAACAAGGAGGGCCCUCUCCCUGAACUUGGCGGUGAUCUCCACCACAGUCUCAGUAGUCUGCAUCAAAUCCUGAAACUCCCGUGCCAGCUGUUGCACCUCAAUAAUCGGCAAAAACUCAGCCCUGAACCUAGCCGAGAAAUCGCUCCAUCUCAUCGCGUCCAACAUGGCAUCGUCACCAAUGGCGUGACCAACCUCCUCCCACCAAUCCAUCGCUCUGUCCUUCAGAAGACAGGAGGCGAGUCUAACCUUGUCCCCCUUAGGACACCGGCUCGUACGGAACGCGUUGGCAAUAUCUGCCAACCACCUUCUGCUAGCGAUGGGUUCCCUAGCCCCAUGAUAAUCUGGCGCUCCGCAAGCUCUGAACUCUCGGAAUGUCAUAGUACAUGCUCCCAUCAAAUCCAUUAUCUCCGUACGAAAGGCUCCUAGCCUCUCAUCCAAGAUCUCCAGUAUACCCUCCUUGACCGUACCAAAGAUCACAUGUGUCUGAUCUAGGAUACCGCGCGUAACCUUAGCUGAUAUCAACUCCCUCAUCCGCUCCUCGAGCUGCUCGGCCCCUGAACUCAAGCCUGAUCCCUCUCCGGCGCCUGAUCCGCCCACUGGUCUCUCUCAUAAUGUCACCAUGCUGAAAACAUAUCACAAUAUUAUCAGAAUACUCAUCACUGCCGAGGGAUCAUACGCACACACUACAAGUUUCCCGGUCUCAUCUCAGCCUUUCCCGAAUCGAGUACGGAUCCUCUGCUUUCAAUAGUACGGGCCCAUACUACCUUCCACAUCUAUCCGUACUUUCUUCAAGAACUGCUUCGACUCCACCAGGUCCCUUUUCCUACUACUACUUCUCCCAGCACUAUCUCAUCCUAGGCUUACCCUAGGGAAACCUCUAACUCCACCCAAACCAACCCUCAGCUGCUAAAGGCCUCCUUGUGAUGCCAAUUAGCCAUCACCUGAAUACCAUCACAUGUGACGAGGCUCAGAUAAUCCUUCAAGUAAAAGAAUCGUCCCUACAACGGUUGGACUCAGACAAGAGCUGUGCAAUAUGGCCAAAUCCAGUACUCUAAGAUUAUUCAACCCUGAUCACAUGUGACGUGACGUAUUCACCUAAUGGCUAACUCCCAUCACUCGGAAUCCCACAAUGCACAUAGCAAGCAACAUUCAGACAAGUGAAAAUCAAACCAUAACAUACUCAAGCAAUCACAACCUCAUAUCAAGAAUCUGCACUAGCAUGCGACAUAAGCUCAUAAACUCAGGCAUAACCUAAAAAGGUUAUCCUACUACUGUCUAAUCAGCACUAUCAUGCAGCUCAAAACACAUAUAACAGGCACAUAAGGCAUCCUCCCUAGAUCCUUAGUCCUAAUCUAGCAUGUUGUUCUACUAACUGAUAAUCACAACAUAAAUUUGUAUGGGUAUUUUGGGGCACUAACUUGAGCUCGGCUGAUUGCAUGCACCGCACCUUUUCUCUUAUCAAAAUUCUUUUCUUUCUGAAUUCUUUUCGCUUUUCAAAAACUAUUUCGUUUCUAAAAACUCUUUUAACAAAACUGUAUUUUCAUUUUGAUAACUUUUAGACCAAUCCCUUAGUUUAAGUCAGACACACCCGAGAGUAUGUCUGAAUCCCUCAAACCAAGACUUUGAUACCAACUUGCAACGUCCCAAAAUUCGUACCAAAAAUUUUCUCUAAAUCAUUACCAAAACCAUGUUCAUAAAAACAUAUCAUAAGUCAUAACAUGAAUUCAGAUUAUCAUUUCCAAAACAUAUUUUCAUUAUCAGAGUAAAGUUGGGUUUUGAGCAUUCUAACACUCCUAAGUGUACAUGCAACCCUAAAUACCUUGGAUCUAUGUUUUUCUCUAUAAUACAUGCAAAUAAGAAAUUUACAAGGCUUUAAUCCUAACUAGCAUAUUAUGAAGUUCUUAUACUAUAAAGUACUAGUUAGAUGACAUACCUUUUUAUGUAGCUUGAUGUCUUCAAGCUUUAAGAGCUUAGCCCCAAUAGUGUGGAAGCCUCAAAUGGAAUCACAAAUCACCAAAACACCUUGGAAGACUUUAGAGAAUAUGGAUACUUGGUUCUCUCUAGUGAAAUUGGCUAGCCCUUCUUAGUGUACCACACUAGUGCCCAUUUCACCAACCAAGGACAUCUUUAUAUAGUGUGGAGGAUUAGGGUUAAACCCUAAUACCCAUGACCUUUCAUUUCCUAGGAUCCAUGGGUUAAACACUCCAUGGACUAUCCAUGAAAGCUUAGCCCAACCUAAAUGAACUUGGCCCAUUCCAUAUAUAUAAGAGUCCAUAUUUAAUUAGUUCCUUUUGAUCACUUAAUUAAUUAUAAAUUAAUUCUUGAUCAAUACUAAUUAAAUAAUAUGAUUCCAUAUUAAUAUAUUAGAACUUAUAAUAUAUUAAUAUUAAUCAUAAACAUACUAUUCUCAAAAGAUUAUCCAUAUAAAUUGUGUCGGUGAAGUGCAACCCAAAUGGACCAUGCCGGGUCGGGUCAAGUACAUACCAAAUAUAGUUAUGGACUUAGACAUUAAUCCAACAGUCUCCCACUUGGAUAAGUCUAAAACUAUUAUUGCGUAUGACUUCAAACCUAACUGGCAAUCGUAGCUCUUAAAGCCGCUGUCGAACUCUGAUCUUGUCAACGAACUUGUCCAUUAGAUAAGGGAUCAUAUAUUCCUCCAUUCUAGAUAUCAUAUGGACUGAGACAUGGAUUAUAAUCAUUCUCUCUGUCCAUUUGUUGUUUCCCGAUUUCCGAUUUAUGACGACUGACUAAUUGAACAAAUCAAAUCAGUCCUGGCCCGGCCGAGCACUUCCAUUUGUCAUCAUCAAAUCAUCGAGGGGCCCACAGAUAUCGCUUUUAUCCCGAAGGUAAAAGGAAUGGAUAAACUUCGACUCAUAUGGCUUGUUCUACUACUUGUUGAAUCAUACACAAAGGCACGUUUUAUAGCACCGAGUUACCAAAUGCGUUUUCGUGCAAUCAAUGUACAACCAACUCAUAGUAACAACUCAUAUCUCUAGGUUUGAAGAAUAUAAGAUAUUAUCGUCUCAUGAUCACUCGUGAUAAAAUCCAUGAAGUGAUUCCAAUGAGCGCGGGUUGAAUCCAAUACUCAGAACUUAUGAGCACUCAUGAGUGUUGUAGCCCUUUGUCCAACACCUUAGACCUCUACAAGCCAACCCAUGACAGUCUUAAUUCAUAUCUACUUCCAACAUAUGACCGACUGUGGAUGGUUUGAAUAACUUAGUCAUUCCGGAAGAAUAACCUAGUUUAUUCGGGAAGUCAAAACAUGCAAAGUGAAACACAAUAAUAAUUGAAUCCAAUAUGGUAUCAACCCUUUGAACAUAAAUAAAACACCUUUUAUUUAUCACCAUAUGAUUACACAUUAUUCAUUGUAUACUGUUUCAGCUAUCAACUUUAUUCUUGAAUUUAAAACAAUAGUUGUCCCAUGCUCCAAGCAUGUACACUAUGUUUUCUUAAACACUAGUCAUGCCACACACCAAGUAUGCAUACUAUGUUUGUCUAUGAUCUUUACUUUGUGAACUAGAUCAAUUGAACAUAACUUCAAUGAUUCUCUUUUCACACUCCCAAAUCCUUACUGCAAAUGCAAGAAUUCCAAAUUCAUGCCAUUUACUGAAAUCUGUUAGAUUCUAAACUUAUAUGCAUUGAUCCUCUUGUAAUGAUUAUGCACAAAGUCACAAAGACUUGGCAACAAUCAUUACAGAGUAUUCCAAAGGAGAUCAACUCCUUGGAAAUAUCCUUCUUGCAUUAAGUUUCCUUAAUCUUACACAGAUUGAAAAUUCUAACUUUGAAACAUUUCCAGAUUCCAUUUUGACUAUCACUUCUGAACAAGAGUUGCCUCCUUACAGAUUAUGUCAAUAUGGUCCUUCCAGAAUUAUCACUAUACUUCCAAUUGUCCUUGAGUAACCAAUCUUUGGUAAACCUUAGAUUGUCCUCGACAAUUGUUUAAUCCUUUUAGUCAUAUCCAGUUCUAAACCUUUUCCCUUCUUAAUGCCCCAGGCAUUUGGAAAAUUUUAGAACGGAUGAAUAUAGCACAUGUAAUCGAUCCUAUAUCCGAAGCAUAUGGGACACGAUUCAUGAUGUCUUACAUAAAGACUAAACCAGUCUUUUGCUAUAAUAUUUCCAUUUCAAUUUGCCAAGUUCUCAUAAUUCAGAUUAUGAAAAGGGAUGCCGUAAUCAUAAUCGAAUUUUAGAACGCAAAUAAUGGACCCAUAUACAGAAUUUCCUUAUGUUGAGCCAUUCCAACAUGAAAUUCAUAUAUAUCCUUGACUAAAUGAUUAAAACCUCACGAUCUAAGCUUAUAGAUUUGAGAUGAAGCAUAAUUUCCUCUCCCUUAAUUAUAGCAAAACAACUUUUUCCCAAUUGAAACUUUUGUUUUCUAUAAUUAACAUUGCUAACUUGCAAUACUUAUCAUAAUUAUCAUGCUCCCACUAACAUGAUGAUUAUUAGCAUAACACUUAUGCUCCCACUAGCUUUGACAUGUACUCAGAAAUCAGCUGGACAGUCUGAAAUUUAGAUUCAUACACCCUUUCCGUAGAUAGCUCACCUGUGUGUCUAAGCAAUUUCAAGAACCAUGAAAAGGGAUACCGUAAUCAUGGUCUCAAUUGCUUAGGCAUUUGCCAUUUCUCACAAGUCCAUGUUAGUGUGCCGGUUAACCACACGCGCUCCACUAACGACUUUUGAAAAUGCAAAUAACACAAUUGAUAUCUUCGUAAAAUCUACUUAGUGAAAGCGUUUCCUCACCAUCAUUUUCAUGAAUCGGAGAGAAACCUUAUGACACUUAGAUUUAUAUGGUGUAUGAGUUCCUACCCAUAUGAAUUUGUCAAACCAUAAUCACAAGACAAAGAUAAUGACAAAUCCAAAACCAUAUGGAUUGAACUCAAUCUUAACUUCUUGCCACCUGGCAGCUCAAGGGCCUGCCAUUGCUUCCAAGUUGUUGUGCAACAAAUUGAGAACUCUAAGAACUCAUAUGCAAAACCAACUUUAACUGGAAUGGGCACAGAAUAUGUCAACACGAUAGGUUAUGAACCUCAAGUCGUGUGCUAGUGAAGAACUUUAGGUUUUAUUCUUGAUUAUUUCUUGAGACUUUCAAGACCUUUAAGACUCCCACUGUCCUCUUGACAUAUAAGACUCCCUUGUCAAACAUCCAAGAGAUAGUGCGGAUUCUAAUCAAGAAAAACACUUUACCCAAUUGGCCUAAGUUGGUCUUUGUUUUAUCCAAAACAUCACAACUUACCAAUUUCAAAUGUACAAGAGUAGAAAACUUUUACUCUUACAUUUGACAAGUGUUUUAAACCUUCUUUAAGACAUGUCACUCAAAUGACAAUCUUGGAGUAUGACUCUAAGACUUGUAUUGGAACGAAGUAUGACUCAUCUUCUUGAUUUAACCAUUUCAACAAUUCAAGUUCCUCUUCUUAGUCAUAAGAAUGCACUAAGAUUUCCUUAGAGAACUAAUUUUGAUAUGGUUUCUUAAUCAUUAAGAUGAUCACAAAACUGAUACUAAAGUACUCUCCCAUCUUUUCAGAUUUGAGAAACUUUUAUCCUUCUGCCUUAUUUGAUUCUUCUUAUCGAUCUUUAGUGGUGGACUUAAUCAGUG